rnacentral:tRNA from 1 species
GGUCUCAUGGUGCAGUCGUCAGCUCGUACGACUUAAGAACAUGCCAGUCAUGGGUUCAAGCCCCAACUAGACCG